rnacentral:rRNA from 1 species
GAUGAACGCUGGCGGCGUGCCUAAUACAUGCAAGUCGAGCGAACGGACGAGAAGCUUGCUUUUCUGAUGUUAGCGGCGGACGGGUGAGUAACACGUGGAUAACCUACCUAUAAGACUGGGAUAACUUCGGGAAACCGGAGCUAAUACCGGAUAAUAUUUUGAACCGCAUGGUUCAAAAGUGAAAGACGGUCUUGCUGUCACUUAUAGCUGGAUCCGCGCUGCAUUAGCUAGUUGGUAAGGUAACGGCUUACCAAGGCAACGACGCAUAGCCGACCUGAGAGGGUGAUCGGCCACACUGGAACUGAGACACGGUCCAGGCUCCUACGGGAGGCAGCAGUAGGGAAUCUUCCGCAAUGGGCGAAAGCCUGACGGAGCAACGCCGCGUGAGUGAUGAAGGUCUUCGGAUCGUAAAACUCUGUUAUUAGGGGAGAACAGAUGUGUAAGUAACUGUGCACAUCUUGACGGUACCUAAUCAGAAAGCCACGGCUAACUACGUG